rnacentral:lncRNA from 1 species
UGGCACCACUGCACUAGUGGACUAUGGCAAGCUGAUGCCGUCCGGUGGAGCUUCGUGCAGAAACUACUGCUGCUUAGCUGAUGCCACAAUGUUGGAUGAAUGCACAAAAACCCGGAACCAGCAUUUAUAUAAAGCAAAAUAAAUGUUUCCUCAUUU